rnacentral:rRNA from 1 species
AUUGAACGCUGGCGGCAUGCUUUACACAUGCAAGUCGAACGGUAACAGGGAGCUUGCUCCGCUGACGAGUGGCGAACGGGUGAGUAAUGCGUCGGAACGUGCCGAGUAGUGGGGGAUAACGCAUCGAAAGGUGUGCUAAUACCGCAUACGUACUGAGGUAGAAAGUGGGGGACCUUCGGGCCUCACGCUAUUCGAGCGGCCGACGUCUGAUUAGCUAGUUGGUGAGGUAAAGGCCCACCAAGGCGACGAUCAGUAGCGGGUCUGAGAGGAUGAUCCGCCACACUGGGACUGAGACACGGCCCAGACUCCUACGGGAGGCAGCAGUGGGGAAUUUUGGACAAUGGGCGCAAGCCUGAUCCAGCCAUGCCGCGUGUCUGAAGGAGGCCUUCGGGUUGUAAAGGACUUUUGUCCGGGAGCAAAUGCCUGGUGUUAAUAGCACUGGGAGCUGAGAGUACCGGAAGAAUAAGCACCGGCUAACUACGUGCCAGCAGCCGCCGUAAAAC